GAUUAACGCUGGCGGCGUGCAUAACACAUGCAAGUCGAACGAUGAAGAUUAUUAGACUUCUUCGGAAUGAAAAUAAGUGGAUUAGUGGCGGACGGGUGAGUAACGCGUGAGUAACCUGCCUUACACAAGGGGAUAGCCUUUGGAAACGACGAAUAAUACCCUAUAAAACUAUCACUGCACAUGAAACGAUGGUCAAAGUGUUAGCGGUGUAAGAUGGACUUGCGUCUGAUUAGCUAGUUGGUGAGAUAAAAGCCCACCAAGGCAACGAUCAGUAGCCGGCUUGAGAGAGUGUACGGCCACAUUGGGACUGAGACACGGCCCAGACUCCUACGGGAGGCAGCAGUGGGGAAUUUUGCACAAUGGGGGAAACCCUGAUGCAGCGACGCCGCGUGAUUUAGAAGGCCUUCGGGUUGUAAAAAUCUUUUGUAUAGGAAGAAAAUGACAGUACUAUACGAAUAAGGUCCGGCUAAUUACGUG
rnacentral:rRNA from 1 species